AGCUGCUCUGCUUCUUCAAGAUCUUUAAAUUUGGGUUUCCCCACAGCCAGACCUUUCUCAAACUGCUUAGCUUUUUUUUCCUAGUACACCCACAUAAUUACUCCAGCACAAAGAGUGGGCUUGUGAAGCAGCAGCAUUUUAAAAAACCACAAACUCUGAUCUCAAGGCAAUCUUUCCCUCCCACUUCCUCCCCCUUCAAGCAGGGGUGUCAGCCGUGCUGUUUCUUUCAAACUUUCUCUGAGUCAUCUCAUCAGGCAGCUUGUAAAUACUUGAAUGCAUCCAUCAAUGUCAAGUCAAAGGAUGCAGAGAAUUUAGGGGUGACCUUAUCUUCCUGUAUUAUCAGCAUACAUACAGACAUGUCAUCAAAGAUGUUGUCUCAUCAUGAGAACAAGACACCAGAAAUAAGAUUCCACACUCUACAGAAGCUUUCCUGCAGAGCUGUCGUCAGGAAUGAACCAAGCCUUUUCCAGAGUGUAGCAGUUUAUAAGUCAAUAAAGUGACUCUGACUUUCCAAAUUCUUCUUAUUAAUUGUCAAUGCUUGUACUGGGCUGCCAUUCACCUGACAUUGUCAGGGUUGUCACCAUGUUUUUCUUCAGUUUCAGCCAAUAAGGUGUUCAAUUCUGGUCCUCUCACAACAAUAAAGACUUUGAGGCUCUGGAGUGUGUCCA
rnacentral:lncRNA from 1 species